GAGAUCCCAGCACACACAGAAAUGGUUCUGGUCUUUGCCCCCUUCUAGAUUUGGAUCACGACUUACAUGACUUGGAAGUCCUGGUGAAUGACACUUUGAAUGUCUUGGAGAAUGCUGGAGGCAAGUUCUGCAUUUCCGUUUUUACUGGCAGAAUAAUCAGUGUCCAUGUGGCAAGAGCUCACUCAUGGGCCAUUUUUGUUAAGGUUAAGUCAGGGUGGAAAGAUUCUGAAAACUUUGCCCUGCUCCCUUCUGGAGCCCUGAGGGAUCCCACAGGAUCACUGUCAGUGCGAGGAAGGAGCAUUUAGCUGUCCAUCUUCCUCCUGUGUGCAAUGCCAGUGUGUCCUUCCGUGUGCUCUGUGCAGCCAGGGAGAAGAGCAGAGAGGGAAGGGGCCGGGCCCAGGGCUGUGCCCCGUGGCUGAGCCUUGUGGGCAGCCUGAGGAUCUCCUGCAGUGCCACAGGAGCUCUUCUGUCCUGCCUUUCUUUGCAGCUGAACCUGCUGGUGAAGGUGGUGCAGCUUCCCAAGCCACGUCCAGGACGGAGCCUCUGGGAGAUGCUGAGGGUGAGUCUGCCAGGAGGACUUCUCCAGCUCCUUUGCUGAUCCCUACAAAGAAGCCUGGCAACCAUCACAGGGGUCCUCUGAGGGGAAAGAACAAAGCUACAGGACACCAGAAACCCCAUGAGCCAUCCAAAAACAUGAGGCAAAUGCUGAAGGAAAUGCAGCAGGCAGGAG